CAUGCGCUGCUACCAUGCAGUCGAACGUGAUCCGCCCUUCGGGGUGGUGAAAGUGGCGCACGGGUGAGUAACGCGUGGAUAAUCUGCCCGAGGAUUUGGGAUAACAUCUCGAAAGGGGUGCUAAUACCGAAUAAGCCCACGGGGUCUACGGAUCUUGCGGGAAAAGGGGGGGACCUUCGGGCCUCCUGUCCUUGGAUGAGUCUGCGUACCAUUAGCUAGUUGGUGGGGUAAUGGCCUACCAAGGCGACGAUGGUUAGCUGGUCUGAGAGGAUGAUCAGCCACACUGGAACUGAGACACGGUCCAGACUCCUACGGGAGGCAGCAGUGGGGAAUUUUGCGCAAUGGGGGAAACCCUGACGCAGCAACGCCGCGUGGGUGAUGAAGGCCUUCGGGUCGUAAAGCUCUGUCUGGAGGGAAGAAAUGAUUGGGAGCUAAUACCUCUUGAUCUUGACGGUACCUCUGAAGGAAGCACCGGCUAACUCCGUGCCAGCAGCCGCGGUAAUACGGAGGGUGCAAGCGUUGUUCGGAAUUAUUGGGCGUAAAGCGCGUGUAGGCGGUCUUUUAAGUCUGAUGUGAAAGCCCCGGGCUCAACCUGGGAAGUGCAUUGGAAACUGGGAGGCUUGAGUACGGGAGAGGAGAGUGGAAUUCCUAGUGUAGGAGUGAAAUCCGUAGAUAUUAGGAGGAACACCGGUGGCGAAGGCGGCUCUCUGGACCGAUACUGACGCUGAGACGCGAAAGCGUGGGUAGCAAACAGGAUUAGAUACCCUGAUAGUCCACGCCGUAAACGAUGAGUACUACGUGUUGCGGUAUUGACCCCUGC
rnacentral:rRNA from 1 species